CCUACGGGUGGCAGCAGUGAGGAAUAUUGGUCAAUGGGCGCGAGCCUGAACCAGCCACGCAGCGUGAAGGAUGACUGCCCUACGGGUUGUAAACUUCUUUUAUAAAGGAAUAAAGUGAGGCACGUGUGCCUUUAUGUAUGUACUUUAUGAAUAAGGAUCGGCUAACUCCGUGCCAGCAGCCGCGGUAAUACGGAGGGUCCGAGCGUUAUCCGGAUUUAUUGGGUGUAAAGGGAGCGUAGAUGGGUGGUUAAGUCAGAUGUGAAAGUUUGGGGCUCAACCGUAAAAUUGCAAUUGAUACUGGCAGCCUUGAGUGCAGUUGAGGUAGGCGGAAUUCGUGGUGUAGCGGUGAAAUGCUUAGAUAUCACGAAGAACUCCGAUUGCGAAGGCAGCCUACUAAACUGUCACUGACGUUGAUGCUCGAAAGUGUGGGUAUCAAACAGGAUUAGAUACCCUAGUAGUC
rnacentral:rRNA from 1 species